UACGAAGGGGGCUAGCGUUGCUCGGAAUCACUGGGCGUAAAGCGCACGUAGGCGGACUCUUAAGUCGGUGGUGAAAUCCUGGAGCUCAACUCCAGAACUGCCUUCGAUACUGAGAGUCUCGAGUCCGGGAGAGGUGAGUGGAACUGCGAGUGUAGAGGUGAAAUUCGUAGAUAUUCGCAAGAACACCAGUGGCGAAGGCGGCUCACUGGCCCGGUACUGACGCUGAGGUGCGAAAGCGUGGGAAGCAAACAGG
rnacentral:rRNA from 1 species